AAAAAUUUAUAUUUUGUGCCAAACUUACUUUAAAAAUACGAAUACAACAUUUAUUUUUACGUUUAACAUGUCUCUUGAGAAUACGAAUUUUCCUCGUUUUGAAUACGACUUCUCUCUGUCUUGGAUACGGAUUUCUCCUGUUACCUAACUGUCAAAACUACGUCACGGGGUCACAGGCUUAUGCAUCGAGUGCCGGAACAUCGAGCCGCCGAGCCGGCAAACGACGCAUGCGCAUUGCAGUUUAGCCCUCAUGGGCUGUGUCCAAUAACUUUAUUGAACAAACAAAACAACGAAAGCUGUUUUAACUUUGCUAGCUAGAUUCCUGUAGCCUGGCCACCGUGAGUUGAACGUGUUGUGAAUCAUUUAGCUCGAAAUGAUUCUGAGGUUGUUUUUUUUUUAUUUAACUUUUACUUUUGGAGGAGUCGGAGCAGAUUCAUCGCCGCCACUUGUUGGUAUUUUUCCGGCGGAGACAAAACGAUCUGCAGACUAGACUCCCGUAAUCCAGAAUUAACCAGUCUCUCAAUCCUGGAGCUGUUUGUCCAACAGUGAAGACCCAAGACCAGACUUCAGAGUGAACAGGAACUCUCCUGCAGUCUUCCUGAACCUCCUUGAUCAGGAUCAGUGACAUCCACAUCCUCCUGCAGGUGCUGGAGCUGCAUCACACUUCUGUACCUCAUGUUGUCACAGCUUGUGCCACCCUCCCCAACAUCUGCCUCUGUGUUGACGACACCGAGGCCCCAGAGGAAGAUGUGGAGGUGAUGAUGAGGACGCUGGUUUGGAGGUCACCAGCGGUGCUCUCUGGCAGGACCAACUACCUGCUGAGGUUUCUGCCCUGGGGGAGGUACCACCUUGAUUACUGGUAACAGCAUCCGUCGACACCCAGCCCUGCAAACCCUGAAGAUGGACGACGCAGUCUGCAGUUAAGAUGAUCCUGAAACUUUCUGUAGACCACCUUGCAAGAUGUUACAACCACCACCCAGAAAGUUCCAGCCCGGGUCUCAGUCGAAGCCCCCCCACUCAUGUCAACUAUCUUUGUAAAUAGUUGGAAAUAAAAGUUACAAUUAAUUCAUGACAAUGACUGUGUUUGAUUUAGAUCUUUAUUUAAAUUAACAAAACAAAAACAAUCAUGUUUAAUAUAUCAAAUAUAAACUUCAUUUAUUCUCAGACAUCUAAGGAUUUUAACGGCAAUUCUUUCCAGCAGACUAAAGUUGGUCAAAAGUUUCCCUCCUCUCUCGUGCGCUCUGCUCUUCUGCCUCAUGUCCUCUGUUUAGGUCUAGAAGCUCAUCACUGUUUCUUCUUAUUUUUCUUCUUCCAGCCGGUGGCUCACUCCUUUCUCUUUCUUCACUCUCCUCUCUUUCACCCACUGCUGUACUUCUCCAGCAGAUCCAUUUUCUUCAGGAUUGUCCUGAAAAAAA